AAGACAAAUUAAAUUAAUUUUCAAUGGAUUAAAAUACUUGAACAGAUGAUUGCACUUGUUCCCACAAAUUGAGGCCCACAAUUUUCAGCAUUUUGUUUAAUAUUCCUGUAACUUAGCAACUAUAAAUGACCGGCAAAUAAAUUUACCUUCUGACACAAAGCCUUUACUUUUGAUUUUGUUAUCUUUCUGUCUGGCAGUUAAUUUAAUUAUUUUUUAAUCAAAUUUACUUUUUGUUUCAUGGUGAAAUAGACUGUUUACAUUGAGUGGGCUUUCGAUAAGUAUUAUACAGCUCUAACCAAUGAUAUCAUCAACCUACAGAAUCAACAGACCCACAGCAAUUGAAUCUUGUUAAAAUCUGGCAAUCACACCAAAUCGUUUCAACAAGAUUGUUUUUCAAGUCUAUUUUUUUGUCAAUGGCCGUGCAGGAUUUCACAAAACGUUUCAACCUUGUUUAUACCAUUUUCAUCUUUAACAGGAGGACAAUGAGCUUAAACAUAACGAAAUCUUCAUGUCCAAAUUUAAUUUAUAUCUCAAUAAUGGAAAACAAAUCUUGGUCAGCAAUCUCGUUGUGUACUCGUUAUAAGGCUUGUUCUCAUUUAAAUGAUUUCAUUCGAUCAAACUCACUCAAAUUACCAAUUGCUUGUUUCAAUGGAAUGGGUAACCAAGUUUAAAGUUAUUGAGAGUAAAUCAAUUAUAAUCUUUUCUCUAUUUUCCAAGAGUUUAGAAGCAUUGAAUUUACAGUUUUCAUCAACUAAUAUAUUGUCCCAAUUUCAAAGUACGAGUAUUUCUGUCUGAGAUAGUCAGUUAGCUAUCCAAUGCUAAUUUGGAUCGAUUCCUAAAUUAACAGUUUAUGUACAAGUGCAAUAAUAUAACCGAUGAAAAUCGAUUUCAUUAAUUUCCUAAUUCUAAAUUAAUGCAUAUUAACUCACUGCAUCCAUUUAUGUAAACCUUUUGCUGACUGGAAAUAGAUGUUUACGGGCUGAGAAAAUAUUAACUGGAACUUGCUGCGAAGUUGCAUUAAUUCUUGUGACUCAAUUGAAAUUUAAAUUAGUCACCACUCAAUUAUCACGUGAACCUGAAUUUUUUUCACUUUUGUCUAUCUUAGGACUCAAUUUUUUUCAUCUUUUCUGAUGGCUUCAGUUUAUAAUCGUGGGAAGUGAAUCAAGGUGUGUUAUUCAUUGAUUUAUAGAUGAUACUAACCAU